rnacentral:rRNA from 1 species
UACGAAGGGGGCUAGCGUUGCUCGGAUUGACUGGGCGUAAAGGGCGCGUAGGCGGUUCGUACAGUCAGACGUGAAAUUCCUGGGCUCAACCUGGGGGCUGCGUUUGAUACGUAUUGUCUGGAGUUCGGAAGAGGGUCGUGGAAUUCCCAGUGUAGAGGUGAAAUUCGUAGAUAUUGGGAAGGACACCGGUGGCGAAGGCGGCGACCUGGUCCGAUACUGACGCUGAGGCGCGAAAGCGUGGGGAGCAAACAGG